rnacentral:rRNA from 1 species
UACGGAGGGUGCAAGCGUUAUCCGGAUUCACUGGGUUUAAAGGGUGCGUAGGUGGAUUGGUAAGUCAGUGGUGAAAUCUCCGAGCUUAACUUGGAAACUGCCAUUGAUACUAUCAGUCUUGAAUACCGUGGAGGUCAGCGGAAUAUGUCAUGUAGCGGUGAAAUGCUUAGAUAUGACAUAGAACACCAAUUGCGAAGGCAGCUGACUACGCGAAUAUUGACACUGAUGCACGAAAGCGUGGGGAGCAAACAGG